rnacentral:sRNA from 1 species
AGACCUAAUUUCAGGGGCAGGGAGCGAGUUGUGGGCUCACGGUUGUUUGCCGGAGGCUUGAACAAAGGCAGGACUCAGCCUGCUUCAGUGCGGGGACUGAGAUGUGGGCUCAGGUGUAUGUGUUGGGGGAAUCUAACAAGGGCAAGACACAGACUGGAUCAUGUGCAGGGCAUGAGAUUUGGGCGCAGCAGUGUUUGCCGGGGUCAUGAACAAGUGUAG